CCUACGGGUGGCAGCAGUGAGGAAUAUUGGUCAAUGGACGGAAGUCUGAACCAGCCAUGCCGCGUGCAGGAAGACGGCCCUAUGAGUUUUAAACUGCUUUUGUACAAGGGUAAACCUGAAUACGUGUAUUCAGUUGAAAUUACUGUACGCAUCAGGAUCGGCUAACCUCGCGCCAGCCGCCGCGGUACUACGGAGGAUCCAAGCGUUAUCCGGAUUUAUUGGGUUUAAAGGGUGCGUAGGCGGAUUGAUAAGUUAGAGGUGAAAUGUCCGAGCUUAACUCGGGAACUGCCUCUAAUACUGUUGAUCUGGGGAGUAGAUGCGGUAGGCGGAAUGUAUGGUGUAGCGGUGAAAUGCUUAGAG
rnacentral:rRNA from 1 species